rnacentral:rRNA from 1 species
UACAGAGGGGGCCAGCGUUAUUCGGAAUUAUUGGGCGUAAAGGGCGCGUAGGCGGCCAUGCGUGUCUUUCCGUGAAAUCCCCUCGGCUUUAACUGAGGACGUGCGGAAGAAAACUGCAAGGCUUUGAGUCCGGGGAGAGGGGGUGGGAAUUCCCCAGUGUAGCGGGUGAAAUGCGUAGAUAUUUGGGGAGGAACACCCGGUGGCG